rnacentral:lncRNA from 1 species
AAUGUUACAAGAGAGUGAACACAACUCUUAUAGAGAGCCAAAAGAAAGUUACAAUAGAUUGUAGGAUAACUACACAAACACAAUCCCUAAAAUCCGCCCUAACAAGUGGAAAAGUAAAAACCAAAUUACAAGUAAAGAAAUUUUUACAAGCAACUAAGAAAUGUUGAUGUAAGGUGAAUGAUAAGCUAUGGAAAGUGAGGUUGAUGUAAGGUGAAUGACAAGCUAUGGAAAGUGACUUUAGCCUAUGACUUAGCUAAAGUGAGGAUGGCAACUCAUACAUACAACCCAUCCAUACAAACUGGUUUCAAUAUUUUUGUUAUGUCCUUUAACGUUAUUUUGACGUGUAAUGAUUAUUUUGGUGUACGGAAAUAUUAUUAAUUAGCACGUACAAAUCAUUAGGUACGUAAUGGAGAAGAAAAUACUGGAGUCUUGUUCUAUGGCCUUCGACUCUAGUCAUUAGUCAGUACAAUGAAAUUUUUGAUAAAUUUGGUCAUUGUAAAAAUAUGUUGAGGCAAUCGCUCCAGGUAAAAACAUGCUCUGGAGUAGCUUACUUAAUGAACGCAAAUCCAAAAAAUAAAGGGGAGUCCUUCCAAAGAAAUACAACUCUAACAAAUCAAACAAACAAAAAACGAUAGACAUCACUAAUUAAUCAGCAAACCAAAAAAUUGUUUCCCUACAAAAAAAGGACACGUAAAAAAGGAGAAAUAUUUUCUUCCCUCUUUUUUUUCCUUUCCUUUUACUCUCUUCCUAUUUGAACGGUCACAGUUAAGUCACAUUUAAAUUUUUUUUAUAGAAAAAGAGAGACAAAAUAGAGAAUGUGAGAGGAGGGGAUGGAAGGGAAUGGAAAGAGGAGGGGAGAGAAUCUUAAUCCCGUAAAAAAAUCUACACAUUCGGAAUUCAAUAAUUCAUAUUUUAAUUUAAAAAAGAUCAAUAAUGAAAUGUAAUUUAAAUUCAUUUGGGUCGUACAAAUUGAAUCCAACAAUCCCCAUUAACUCAUUUUCCUGGCACACCACACAAAACCAAUAGCUCUGAUUUCUUUUACACACUAAUCUGCAAUCAAAAUAUUAGCUUUUAAAGGUAGGUAAUGUAGUAAAAUAAACUGUCGCAUCCGAUUUAAAGUAACAAUUUGGGAUUUAGAUUCAUUUCAUAGAGACAGAUAUGGUCAUUUUCAAUCUGCUAGGAUUUAAAGUAACACCGGCAAUUGUAAUAAAGUGAUGUUAUCCAUAUAUUAAUUUUUAAUUUUUAUAUUUUUUUUGUUUUUAGUUGUCCAAAUAAAUGAGUUGAAGAAAAUUAAAUGACAAAAAUUAACAAGAAAUGUAUAAAAGAUAGAAGAUAGUGUGUUCAUAGCAUCCCUUAGAGCAAGUCAAUUCCUCUAAGACAAUAAUUGUCCUGUCAAUUGGGCAAAGAGAAUUAUUACUAAGUUCCUAGUAUGUGCCCAAGUACAUCUCCGUCCGACAUAAAUUGCCUAGACAAUUAAUAUUAAAAUUAUUCCUAGAAGAAUUAAUAAAAAUACAAUAUUAUUUUAUAUUGUUAUAUCUAUUUCUUCAUCAUUGUCUAUGAACUUCUUCAUCUCCUCCCUCCUUUUGUCUCUGUCAAUCUUCAACUUAACACCAAUUUAACAACAUUAACUUGAAAAAAAAAAACUAAAAGCUUAAGAAAAACAACAGCAUCCCCCAAACUAUCUGACAACCAUCUACCCCAACAAGUCCCACCCGUCGUUGCAAAGCACCUCAUUGGCGGCGAAGGUUAUCUCUUCACCCUUUCUGUCUCUUCCUCUUUCUCCAAAUCAGAGAAGUGGGAAGGCCAAUAAUUAAAAUCAUCUAACUCAUAUCUCCGCAGACAUAACCGGCAACGUUGUGCCAAAACCUUAUCUGAUCGAUCUAGCCCACCAACAAAUUUAUGGGUAUUUUGGAAUUUGAGGACAGCCACAUUUUUUUUUCUUCUGGGAUUUGAGGAUAGCCAAUUAAUUUUUUUUCUAGGGUUUUUUGGGUUCUUUCUGGAAUUUGGGGAUAGCCACAAUUCCUAAAAAACCAAAGAAAACCCAAGAUUUCAAUUCAUUAAAACGUAUUGUGCUUUAAUUUUGAUCGCAUGGUUGAUUUGUGUUCUCCCGACUGGGAUUUAGUAGCAGAAAUUGCAAUGAAAUGGCUACCGACGAGGUCGUAUGUGGUUUGGUAGGUGGCUAUUGCGUAGGUGGAGAGUUUGUCUCCUUUUGUUUUUCUUUAAUUUCUUUAUUUUUAUUUGUUAUAUUAGUCUUUAGAAAAAAGAUAAAUUGAUUUCCAAUAGUAUGGAAUUUUGUGGGGCUAAAAAAUUCCAAAAAAGAAUAAUAAUAAAUAAAUAAAAAGUACCAAACCUGAAAUCUGCACGUGUAAUAGUCGUCGCCAUAAGCAGCUUGAACCAUUUCGAUGAACUUCCUCUGAGGGUUUCUCGGCCGGAACUGCACGCCCAAGCUGACCAAGGCUUUGACCUGGUCGGGCUGGAACAGGCAGAGGUACCAAGCGAUGAUGGUGCCCCAGUCGUGGGCCACCACGAACACCUGCUCCUGAUCAGGUGAGAUGGUGUCUAGGAGCACCACGAGGUCUCCAACUAUAUGGAAGCAGCUGGAGGGGGAUGCGGGGGUGUCGGUGUCGAUGUCGCCAUACCUUCAGAGGUCGGGGGUGACGACGCGGUAGCCGAGGGCGGAGAUGGUGAGGAUUUGGUGGCCCCAACAGUACCAGAGAUCGAGAAAGUCGUGGAUGAAGAGGAUGAGUGGGCCAUUCCCUUUCUCGGAUCGAUCGCUCUCUCUCUUUCUUUAACUUUCUCUCUAUUUGGGUGUUUCUGUGUCUUUUUAUACAAGGAAGCCUGCAUAAAUAUUUGUGUUUUUUCUACCUGGUGCUAUUAUAUUUGACUCUCGGAUUAGACGUCUUACGAGGCGGUAUCUGAACUUGUUCAUGUUGGGAGUGAGAUUAAAAUGGAGUGAAACAAGGAAUUUAGGCGUAAUUUCAUAUGGACCAAGCAAACUGUGGUCGCUGAAGCUUGUGUUGCCCACAUCCGGCGACAAGCAAACUUAGUUGGUCAUUGCUUAGCUCAUUUUGCUCUCUAUUGUGGAAAUAAUUGUACUUGAUGAAAUGAACUUCCAACCUUAAUUAGUGACCUUUUUAUGGAGGAUUUAUCUUCACCGUGUACUAAUUAGCUUUUUAUAGCUUCAAUGAAAUAUAUGUCGUUGUUUUCUUAAAAAGAAAAAAGAAAAAAAAAACAUUUGGCCUCUUUUCGCUUCCUAGAUAUUAUAAUAGUCCAUUGAUACCAUAAAACACUCUAGAAAGAUUAUCUUUCUAAAAAAAUAAUUAAAAUUAAGGUCGUUUAGUCAAUAAACUGUAGCUAAUAGAUAGAUAGUUUGUAAUACUUUUGUCGAUUUCAAUGAUCGGUUUUUAUAAAAUUUGAUGACUAAACAAUCGCAUAUUUUAUUAAUUUUUUGUUGAGAUAAUUUUUACAUAAUGAUUUUUAUAUUAAUGAUUCUAACCAUGCGCACAAAGUUUCGUGGAUCAGCCACGAACAACUCGUUUUUACUAAUAACCACAAGUAAUUAAUUAAGUGUCAUAUAUCUCAAUGAUAAUUGAGUUUGAAGUAUUAUUCUAGUGUGUUGUUUUUAAGAAUUUAUAUGUAGAAGGCUCUUAAAUUAAUGUGUUUAUUAGUAAUUUUGAUAUUCAUUAUGUUCAAUACAUGUUUUUUUUUUCAGACUAAAUGCAUUUUACACUGCUGAGGUUUAAAAUUAGUUUUGAAAUAAUUCACAAGAUUUCGAUUUUUCUUAUUAGACCUCAACAUUUGACAUUAAAUCAAUUUACAUAUUUUUUCAGACUUGUGAGAAAGUAGGAAAGUGGUCAUUCAGUACUUUAACAAAGUGAUGCAAAAUCGACACCUACGAUAUAGGUUUUUACUUUAGUCAUAGCUUCGUAAACGCUGCGAUAAUGUGUAUCUUGAUAAGUUACUUCAUAGACAUUUGAACGCAUCCACAAUUAUUUUAAAGCAACUGACAUGAUUUUAACUCCUCACAAACCUCUUUAUUUUUCAAGUCAUCGGACUAACUUAAUCAAACAGAAAUAGCUUAUAAAAUUAAACUUAGCCUUCAUAGUUUAAAUUACACACAUCGUCAGUGAUUAUUCAUGACAAAACGAAACUAGUUUAUGGAAGUUGCACGUUGGUAAACACGGAAACAACAAUGUCCAUUACAACGUCACUCAAAGUCGGGGGCAAGAAGUGCAUAACUGAAACACCAGUAGGCACUAGCCAGCGUUGACACAAGGACAUACGGCUAAUGGAAGUUCUUAAUGAAGUCGUGAAUGUGUUUGCUGAUUUCAUCAGGCUUUUCUUGUUGCAGAAAAUGGGCAACUCCUUCCAAUACAACUACUUCUUCCAGAAGCGGCACAAAUUUCUUGAACCCGCCCUUGUGUAUGAAGUCCUGAGCACCUCGAGAGUUGUAAACUAGGUCCUGGUCUCCCACAACAAACUUCACCGGAACUUUCACUUGAGCCCCAGUCCAUGGUGCGGUCAGUUCCCAAUUUCUGCAUUGUUAAAGCGGAUGAAAUUAAUUAAAACAACGAUUACCCUUAGAGUCAUCGACACUCGACAUCAUAAGUUCGAAAAAAAUUACGUACAUGUCCAAAUUCCGGUAGUAGUUUAUGCCGCCAGUGAAGCCCGUCUUGUCAAAUUUGGCGGCGUAGUAGUUCACUUCAUCCUCAGACAACCAACUUGGCAAGACAAUAGGAGUAUUUGUGGGAUGUCCAAAUCCUUUGCCUUUAGGCAGGAAAAGUGGACCAGGAUUCCUAUAUGUUAGAAACUCCUUGAUAACUCUUGUAGUGCCCAUCUGAGCAAACUCAGCUUCUAUCACUCCUGGCUCCUACAAAUAUGAGUAAUUUGUCCAGUCAUAACCAAAAAUUGCAAUUGAUAUCUGCGGGUAUGCGAUUUUAGAAUUACAUACUAAUGUUUUCUUGUUAAACAAACAGUAAAAUUUUUUAGUAGAAUGAUAGGGUUAGCUGGUUAGACUUAGAUAGUUAGUUGUUAUGGGGAGAAGAAUUUGUGGGGAUUAAAUCUGCACCAUAAUGCACACACAUGACUGCUUUCACAAUACGAUAAAACCCAUCUAUAACAACAAUAUUUUUGAAUAAACCCAAUUUGAUUAUUAGUUCAAAUUCGCAGUCUAUCUAGCGACACAAACAUUUAUACAUUUAUUUUUAUUUUUCACUCUUCUUCAUUUUCGACUGUCGGAUUAAAUGAAUUGACGAUCAAUAUACAAAAUUUAACAAAAAUGAAAGAUUAAAAGAAUAUGGAAAUAGCAUUACCCUUUAAAAUAUUUGCUUUUGAAAGGUAGAUAAUGUAAUAAAAAAUAGGGCAAAAGACUGUUUACUACCCUCAAAUUUUAUGGUUUUCAACAUUUAGUACAUCAAUUUUUUUUCAUCCCAGAAUCAUACCUAAAGUAUAAAUUUUCGGACAGUCUCAUACAUCCGUUAGUCAAACUGUUAAGUCUCCCGUUAACUGUGACGUGGCGCCCAUGUGGACAAUGACUGGGCGCCACGUGUCAUUAAAAAUAUAAUAAACUAUUAAAAUAAUUAAUUAAUUAAAAGUUAAAAAUAAAAAUAAAAAUUCCCCAGAUCCCUUUGUCUUCCCCACCCCGACCCCCCUCCUUUCUCCCUCUGCACAUCCAUCCUUCCCUCAUCCCCUCCGCCCCCUUCAUCCCAUCCACCCCCUUCAUCUUCUCCAUCCGAGCAACCCCAUCACCCACCCCUUGCCUACCCGAGCCACCAUUUCUCCAUCCACUCCUCCUUCUGGCACUUGAUGCAACCCCCACCCUCUCUUCUCUCCUCUACAACCACCCACUCUCCCUCCCUCUCUUCUCUCCUCUACAACCUGCACUAACCACCCUCCCUCCCUCCCGUCCUCUCUCUCUGAUUUCCUCACCGGAGCUCCCCCUCCCUACGCCACCCCCAGAGCCAUCUCUGUACGCCCCCUCUCUACAAUUUGAAUUUUUGGAUUUGGAUUGAUUGAUUGACUGAUUGGUUAUUUGAUUGAGAUUUGGUUGGUUGGUUGUUGUUCUUGAAUCUCUGCAGCUAGGUGAGGUUUCUGUGGAAGAGAGGGUCGCCGUGCUUCCAUCCGAGGACAAGGGACUUGUCAGGUUCCUGGACCUCGACGGAGUGGACGGUUGAGUUCUUGGAUGUGCAGAGGGAGUGGACGGCAUUGAGUUCUCAGAGUUGACGAAGGACUAGGCCUAUGCAGAGGGAACGGGAGAAAAAACGAAAGGGAAUCUGGGGAGAAGGGGGAGGGGAAGGAUGGAUGUGUAAAGGGAGAAGGGAUGGGGGGUCGGGGUGGGAAAGACAAUGGGGAUCUGGGGAUUUUUUUUUCUUUUUUUUUUACUUUCAUUUUAUUAAUUAUUUUAAUAGUUUAAUUAUUUUUAAAAUUUUUUAAUGACACGUGGGUGCCACAUCAUCAUUUAACAGCAAAGUUAACAGUUUGACUAACGGAUGUAUGAGACUGUCCCAAAAUUAACACUUUAGGUAUGACUCUGGGAUGAAAAAAAAAUCAUGUACUAAAUGUUGAAAACCACGAAACUUGAGGGUAGUAAACUGUCUUUUGUCCUAAAAAAUAAUAUUGUCACAUCCUAUUUAAUAUAAAAUAACACUUUGGGAUUCAGAUUGAUUACACAGAGAGACAGCUGGUCAUUUUCAAUCUGCCAAAAUUGUGUAGAAAGUAAGCUCUUUAAAAUAAUCGCUUCCAAAGUGAAGAUGUCCAACACACUUUUUAUUUUUCAUAUUUUUCUUAAUUCUGAUUGUGAGAUCAAAUAAUUAAAGAAAAUUACAUGAUAAAAAUUAACCCUUUAAAAAGUGUGUUAAAGAUAAAAAAAAACAUGUGUGAAAUAGCUAUACGAUAUGUUAUGGCAUUGAACAUUUGCAUGACUAUCUAAGUUCGAAUUCUAUCUGUAACUAAUGUUACAUUUAUUCUAACUAAAUUUGUCAGCUGACAAUAAAAAAAAAAAAAACUCAAGGUUAAUUUAAAAUUUAAAAUAUCGAUUAUCCCAAAGUGUAUCUUUUUAGUUUUGGUCUAACUCUUAUAUUUCUCAUUUCAUGAUUUAGAAUUAAUUAAAACUUUUAAGUAAUUACCCUAAUUAAAUCUGUUUCCCUCAAAAUUUAAAAAACAUGCGAAUCUGAUCCUCACCAUUAAAAUCUGUCAAUUCUUAUGUCGAAUAUUUCCUUUAUUCUGGACAUAGGAAAAAGAGUGAGAAGCUUGAUGUUCGAAAUUUAUUGUUCUAAAUUAUUUUGUGAAGCACAAUAUGUACCUCACAACUAAUUUGAGUAAAGAUGAUUAAAUGUUAAUCAAAUUGACAAUUAGUGACUGAUGUGGAAUUUUGUGGGGCUCAAAAAUUCCCCAAAAAGAAAAAAAAAAGUACCGAACCUGAAAUCUGCAGAUGUAGUAGUCAUCGCCAUAAGCAGCUUGAAGCGAUUCGAUGACCUUCCUCUGAGGGUUUCGCGGCAUGAACUGCACGCUCAAGCUGACCAAGGCUUUGACCCGGUCGGGCCGGAGCAGGCAGAGGUACCAAGCGAUGGUGGCGCCCCAGUCGUGGGCCACCACGAACACCUGCUCCUGAUCAGGUGCGAUGGCGUCCAGGAGCGCCACGAGGUCUCCGACCAUGUAGAGGCAGUUGUAGCUGGAAGGGGAGGCGGGGGCGUCGGUAUCGCCGUACCCUCGGAGGUCGGGGCGACAGCGCGGUAGCCGAGGGCGGAGAGGGCGAGGAUUUGGUGGCGCCAGGAGUACCAGAGCUCAGGAAAGCCGUGGACGAAGAGGAUGAGUGGGCCAUUCCCUUUCUCGGCGACGUGCAUGUUGAUGCCGUUCACUUGGACUGUUCGGUGCUCUAUUCCCUGCGACUCCAUGAUCGGCGAUCGCUCUCUCUCUCUCAAACUCACUCUGUUUUUUUUUUUAAUUUUAUUUGGUAAUGGUUAUCAGCGAGUGAAUGGUGUUUGGGUAUUUGUGUCAUUUUAUAGAUGGAAUCCGGCAAUAACGAAUUUUGCGUCGUUUGGAGAUAAACGACCUGAUACGUGUAAUAAUGCAAUUGACUAAAAAAAAAAUAUUUAAUUUCCAAACAAUUGUUCCGCAGUGCGGUGCCGACCUGCUGUCCGCUAAAUCUUUUACUUUAUUUUUUGAUGUGUCAUACUACUUAAUGUUAAUUUAACUUUACCAAAUUUUUUUACAUAAUAUUAUGAACCAUAUUAUUGAUAACCCAUCGAGAGGCUUAACCCACUCUUCCACCCCUUAGUGUCGUUUGUUAAAAAAAAAAAAACCCAGAUGAAAAAUUAAAGAGAGAAUUAGAAUUUCCUGCAUAUUUUUAAUAUGUUUUAGAUUACAUUGAUUUCAUUUUAAAAUUUGAUUAAGGUGUUUUAAACAAUAACCAAGUUAACAUAUUUCUAUUCAUGUAAAUUACACUAGCAUUUGCCUACACAGUUUGUGUGUAUGAAAUGAGAGAUGGAGAGAGAGAGAGAAUGUGGGGGGGGGAGGGGGGGAGAGAGAUUUUUGUUUUCGGUUUUUAUUUUAUUUUUUAUUUUUUAUAAUAUUAUAGGUAUUUUAACAUCGCAUGUAGGUGAAGUUUCAAUAAAAAAUAGUAAAACUUGGACUUGUGAAAUUACAUUAUUACCCAUCUUUUUUUUGUGUGAUAGAAGACUAAUUUGUUAUUUUACGGGACACUUUGGAUGCGGUCCCUAACUAUCAAUAUUCUUUGAUUGAAACCUUGUUAGUUUGUAGUUUUUGAUUGAGGUCCCUGACAUUAAUGUAAUAAUGUAAGUUACUAUAUAUUUUAAAUUAAAAACUAAAAAUUGAAAUUUGUAAUUGUUUAUAUUAAUGAGAUUUUAAAUAAAACCCAUAAUUUAUGGGAUUAAAAAUAAUAAAAUAUAAAUUAUACUCUCUAUUAUAUUGUGUGUGUGUGUGUGUGUGUGUGUACAUAUAUGUAUGGGUACAUUAACCAAAAUUAACAAAAAAAGUUAUUGUACCAAAACAUGGAUACAUUCUCAAAUCAACGAAAAAGAAUGUACCCAUAUAAGUUUAAACAUGGAUUAAAACAUUUGAAUGGAUUUUAUAUUAAAAAAAGGUACAUUUUACAUAUAACAAAUUGAUAUAUUUGAGAAUGGGUACAUUUAAAAUCAAAAAAAUUAAAAAAUUAUAUGAAUUGAUACAUUUAAGAUUAAAAAAUUGAGAAUCUUUAUAUAUAUAUAUAUAUAUAACUAAUAGGUACAAACUUAAUUUAAUUUAAUUUAUUAUUAUUUUGGAAAUGUUUGAAUUGAAAAUUAAUUAGAAGUUUAAUAGAGGUGUGAGUAUUAAACCCUAAAUUAAUUACUAAUUUUUAUAUUAAAAAUUAUAUAAUAAACAUGUAAAUUCAUUAUCACAUUAAUGCUAGGGACUUGAAUCAAAAUUUGAGAACUAAUAAGGUCUUAGUCAAUGAACAGUAAGAACUAGGGAUCGGAUACUAAUUUUUCCGUUAUUUUACCCUCUUUUGGUUGACAAAGAGGGUUUUAUUAAUUAGUAGAGAUUUCAUUAUUGAUACUUUGUAAAUUAAAAAUUAAUUAUUGAAUUCUGAGUAUGUAGAUAUUUUUUUUUACGUGUGGUUUUUUGUAGGGAAACAGUUUUCUGGUUUGCUAAUCAUUUGGUGAUGUCUAUCGUUUUUUGUUUGUUUGAUUUGUUAGAGUUGUAUUUCUUUGGAAGAACUCCCCUUUAUUUAACAGAUUUGGGUUCAUUAUGUAAGCUCCUCCAGAGCAUGUUUUUACCUAGAGCGAUUGCCUCAACAUAUUUUUACAAUCACCAAAUUUAUCAAAAAUGUCAUUAUGCUCUAGAGUCGAAGGCUACAGAACAAGACUCCAGUAUUUUCUUCUCCAUUACAUACCUAAUGAUUUGUACAAGUUUGCACGUACACUCGUUUUUAACCCGUUUACCUUUUUUACUCAUUUCCUUUUUUUUACUAGUCUACAAGUUUGCACGUUUUUUUAUUUUUACCCAUUUAUAAGUACAUACAUUUCCGUAUUUCAAUUUUUUUAAGCUCUCAUACCUUUUUAAUAAUUGAAAUUAUAUUUUAUGAACGAUACUUUCAACUGUUAUUAUGUCACAUUCCCGUCCGGGGUCCACCACAUCCCAGACUCGUUUCACUAUCGUAACACAAUAUUGUCUGCUUUAGGCCCCGACUACAUCCUUACGGUUUUGUUUCUGGGAACUCACACAAAAACUUCCCAGUGGGUCACCCAUCAUGGGAUUGCUAUCGCGCGCUACUCGCUUAACUUCAGAGUUCCGAUGGAACUCGAAGCCAGUGAGCUCCCAAAAGACCUCAUGCUAUGUAAGGAUGGAAAUAUACAUAUAAGGAUCACUCCCCUGGGCGAUGUGGGAUUUUACAAUCCACCCCCCUUAAGGAGCCCGACGACCUCGUCGAUACACCACGGCCAGGGUUAGGCUCUGAUACCAAUCUGUCACAUCCCGGCCCGGGGUCCACUACAUCCCGGGCCUGCUCCACUACCGUAGCAUGAUAUUGUUCGCUUUGGGCCCCGACUACGCCCCCACGGUUUUGUUUCUGGGAACUCAUACAAGAACUUCGUAGUGGGUCACCUAUCAUGGGAUUGCUCUCCCGUGUUACUCGCUUAACUUCGGAGUUUCGAUGGAACCCGAAGCGAGUGAGCUCUCAAAAGGCCUCAUGCUAGGUAGGGAUGGGAAUAUACAUAUAAGGAUAACUCCUCUGGGCGAUGUGGGAUCUUACAAUUAUGUAAUUUGACGAUUAUGCCCUUAUUGGCAAGUGACGUGGACGUAUUCUUAUCACAUUCAUUUUAUUUCUCGCUGUUGCAUUUAAAUUGUACAUGUUAGUACGAGUCAGCGUAGAUUUUAAAGUGUAAAAUAUCUACUUCGGAUAGAUUUCGAUUUCCUUUUACUGUAGGAAAUCUAAAAACCUAUCCAUUGGAUCCCCUUUUUAUCCUAUCCCGUGCAUCCCCUCCUUCAUUAUUCACUCUCACCUAUCCCAUCUUUUCCUCAUUUUUGUCCCCCAAUCAGAAAAGCAACAUCCCAUCACUCAUUCUCACUCUCUCUCUUCUCUCUCCUUCGCCGAGCCCCUUCUUCUUCUCUACAACCAUCACAAAACCACACCAAAACACUCAAACAUCGAAAACAAACUACACAAUUGUGAUCAUCUCAGUCCCACGAUCACAACCAUGUCCUUGAAAUCUGGUGUAGACGAAUUUUGACUCACCAAUUCAGAAGGUCGACUCGGCGAGUUAGACAUAUCGAUUUUCAGGCCAUUCAUGGCUUAGGUAAGCCUUGAGAAACCCUUAGAACCUUCAUUUCACUUCUAUGGGUUGUUAUUGAUCUCUUGUUUAUGUCUUGAACAUAUGGUUUUACCCAGAAAACUUAAGAAGAAGAAGAACUUGAACGUUUUUUAGUCAAGGACCGUGACCAUUUGGUCACUUUCAACCCAUUUUUCCAGUCAACCUUAACCACAUCUGGACUCCUGCUAGGUACAAACUUGUUCUCUACAUUCCUAACUUCAAAAUGGAUUUUGAAUCACUGAGUUUGGUUAAGUAACGAGUUAGAAAUCAACUCUAGAAGUUGGGAAGAAAAUUUCAGUUUCUAGAAAAUUUGCAAUCGUGGUCAUUUGGCCACUUUCAGGCCAAAUUUCUAAACAACUCGAACCAUAUUUGAACUUUUUGUGAAAUGGGAUAAUACAUCACAUUCCUAGCUUUAAUUUGGCUUUUGUAGAAGUGAAUUUGGUUGAGAAUCGAGCUUGUUAUGAGCUCUGAAAGUUGGCCCAAAAAUUUGCAAAACUACAAAUUUUCGCGAGGAAGGUGAGUACAUUGUACUCACGGGUGCGUAGGGCGCGCAUGACGAAUCUGUGCAGCCACUUUAGGUGGCGCGUGACAGCGUGUCCGGCCUCCGGCCUACGUGUGGUCGACACGUGUGUGUUCGUGUUGUCGAGUAAUGUGUGUGCGUUUGUAUCGUUUGUAUACUUGAGUAGUAUGUUUAAGGAAACUAUACUUGUUUUACUGCGAAGGAUUAGUAUUUUCAAAGUUAAAGGUUUUCUUAUAAGCAUUGUUUUGCUAACCUACUCAACUUUGUUUUUGGCCCCACCAGGACCUAGAUAGUUGUACUCUUUGUGGCACUCGAGGAAUCUCGGCAGUUCUGACAUUUCCUUCUAUUUUAGACGUACGAACUUAUCAUUAUUCUGUAAUAAGUGUACUUUGGUUACUUUGACUACUCUUCUGUAGUCUCACUGUUUAUUACGCUUUGAAUAAUUAUAGUGGGUUCAUCCCACGAUUUGCGCAUUCUGUCACUAUUUAGUUCUAAUUAGUUUUAAUUUUAUUCACUUUUUGCAUCACUUACCUUUACGGUUACAUCACCUCAUGGUGAUGGCCAGCAUGCUUCGACCUUUCCAGGUCGGGGUGUGUCAGUUUGGUAUCAAAGUAUAGGUUUAGACAGUCCUGCACUUCCUAGUGUGUUCUAACUCUUGUUUUCUUAUGUCAAAACCAUGCCACCUCUUAGAGAGCCAUGUUCUCCAGCUGAGAAUAACUUUCCAGACUUUGGGCAGUUUGGUGAGGCUAUCGCCAUUGCUAUUUGGUCUUCCAUUCGUCCUACCUCGAGGAAUACUCUGGAUAUUGUAUCUCGCUUGAAGAUUAAUGAUUUCUUUGGUAAUGAGGGACCAGAGAAAUUAGAAAUAUGGUUCGAUCAUGUGGAGAAGACUUUUUGAGUUAUGCACAGGCAGGGUAAUCUUUCUCGGGAGAGAUGGGUCGAGACAGCGACCUGGUUCUUUUGGUUGGGAGUAGAAUCUUGGUAGGAUCAUGAGAGGAGAUCAUUAUCUGAUGAGGAUGCUAUAAAUUGGAAUGUUUUUAACGGUUAUUUUAGACCAGAUUUGUUCCUCCGAAGUAUUUCGAUAGUAAAAAGAAUGAGUUCACAGACUUGAGGCAGGGCAAUAUGUUAGCCACUGAAUAUCAUCGAAGGUUCACAGACUUAUCUUGUUAUUGCUUCAAGACUGCUGCUAAUUCCCGGGAGAUGCUUCGUUUGUUUAAGAGGGGAACUUGCAAGAAAUGGCGUACUAUAGCAACCUCUACUCUCUGUGCUACUUACCAGGAAUUCUUCGAGGUCUUGCUUCAAAUUGAAGAUUUGGUGAAUGCUCCUGACAAUGAGGAUGAGGAGGAUGUUGGCAGAAAUGUCCAGAGGUACAAUAACAAGGGGCGAUCGUCACUUGACCCGAGAAAAGGCUCAUAAUUUUAAAAAGAGUGGAAACAGCUCUGGAUCGUCGAGCGGGGGUUCUAACUCCGGUACACCUCAUAGAGGAGGCAGAUCCGCUGGUUGUUGUUGUUUUCAGAAUCAAAGAAACUCCAGCAGUUUAGGUGUUCAAUUUUGUCGCAGGUGUAACACCUGUCACUAUAGCGAGUGUAAGAGAUGAAACAUAAGAUGUUUCACUUGCGGACAAACAGGGCAUAUGGCCUAUAAUUGUCCUUAGAAUCAGAAGAAUCAGCCUACUAAUCUACCACAUGCAGUCCCCUUACAACAGCUUCCAGCACCUGGUAACUGUCAGCAAAUAGGCCACGGUGGAGCUUUCCACUACCAAGGGGGCGUAGCUCCGAAUCAGGGAGGACCAUACCAGUAUACGCCUAAGGUUCCCUACUAUCAAGGAGGCUAUUAGCAGACUCAGGGAGGUUAUCCACAGUUCUAGGAAGAUUAUACGCCGUAUCAAAGCGGCGGAGCAUUGAUGUAUACUGAAGGGCAGUAUCAGAACCUAGACGUGGCGUUUAGCAGUGAAGGUUCAGGCAGACAGGCAAAUCUACCCUAGCAGGGCUGAGGUAAUCAGGGUCGAGGUAAUCAAACUCAAGCAAACAAGGGUCGUGGAGGCAGACAACAAGUUCAGGAAAGAGUUAACAACAUCACCCUUUAGGAUGCUCGGGCUAAUCCGGACUUGAUCAUGGGUACGUUGAAUGUUCUAGGCCAUUUUGCUAAAGUUUUAAUUGAUUUUGGUGCUACACAUUCAGUUAUUUCCCAUAAGUUUUCUCAAAAGACUCAACCACAUCCUACUUCACUCGACUACGAGUUGGAGUUCUCUAUGCCUAGAGGUGAAAUCUGUUAUGUUAGUUGGGAAUAUCAAGGAUGUCCUAUCCUUGUCGAAGAUGUAGUCAUGCCGGCUAAUCUUGUUCCUUUGGAUAUCGUUGACUUUGACGUUAUCUUAGGCAUGGAUUGGUUACACUACAAUCGUGCCAGGCUGGACUGUUAUGAGAAAGUUGUUACUUUUCACCGACCAGGUAUACCUACUGUCACAUUUAUUGGUAAGCGUGGUGGUCUAAAACAUGGAGUUAUCACUGCCAUGAGGGCGAGACGAUUGUUGAAUAAAGGUUGUCAAGGUUACUUAGCUCAUGUCAUGCUAGCGGAGACUACUACAUCUGUGGAAGACGUCAGAGUAUUUAGGCACUUUUCCAAUGUUUUUCCCGAGGAAUUACCUGGCUUACCCCCAAAUCAUAAAGUAGAGUUCACCAUCGAUCUACUUCCAGGUUCUAAUCUUAUUUUCCUUACACCUUAUCGUAUGGCUCCUGCAGAGUUAAGGGAACUUAAAACUCAGUUGCAAGAGUUGGUUGAUAAGGGUUUCAUUCAGCCAAGCACUUCUCUGUGGGGAGCUCCAGUUCUGUUUGUAAGGAAGAAAGAUGAAACUUUGAGGUUAUGCAUCGAUUACAAGUAGUUGAAUCGGGUGACGAUUAAAAACCAUUAUCCGUUACCUCGUAUUGAUGACCUAUUUGAUCAGCUUAAAGGUGCUUGUGUGUUCUCGAUAAUUGAUUUGAGGUCUGGUUACUACCAAUUGAAGAUCAUAAGCGAUGACGUUCCAAAGACAGCUUUCAGAACUCGAUAUAGUCAUUACGAAUUUCUCGUGAUGCCAUUUGGAUUGAUUAAUGCACCAGCAGCUUUCAUGAACCUGAUGAAUCGAGUAUUCCAUCCAUACCUCGACAUGUUCGUCAUUGUUUUCAUAGAUGACAUUUUAGUGUAUUCGAAGAAUGAAACUGAUCAUGCCAGGCAUUUGCGUUUAGUUCUAAAGACGAUAAGGGCAAAUCGGUUGUAUGUUAAGUUCAGCAAAUGUCAAUUUUGGCUGGAUCAAGUGUCAUUUUCUACGAUAUAGGUUUCUACUUUAGUCAUAGCUUCGUAAACGCUGCGAUAGUGUGUAUCUUGAUAAGUUACUUCAUAGACAUUGAACGCAUCCACAAUUAUUUUAAAGCAACUGACAUGAUUUUAACUCCUCACAAACCUCUUUAUUUUUCAAGUCAUCGGACUAACUUAAUCAAACAGAAAUAGCUUAUAAAAUUAAACUUAGCCUUCAUAGUUUAAAUUACACACAUCGUCAGUGAUUAUUCAUGACAAAACGAAACUAGUUUAUGGAAGUUGCACGUUGGUAAACAAGGAAACAACAAUGUCCAUUACAACGUCACUCAAAGUCGGGGGCAAGAAGUGCAUAACUGAAACACCAGUAGGCACUAGCCAGCGUUGACACAAGGACAUACGGCUAAUGGAAUUUCCUAAUGAAGUCGUGAAUGUGUUUGCUGAUUUCAUCAGGCUUUUCUUGUUGCAGAAAAUGGGCAACUCCUUCCAAUACAACUACUUCUUCCAGAAGCGGCACAAAUUUCUUGAACCCGCCUUUGUGUAUGAAGUCCUGAGCACCUAAAGAGUUGUAAACUAGGUCCUGGUCUCCCACAACAAACUUCACCGGAACUUUCACUUGAGCCCCAGUCCAUGGUGCAGUCAGUUCCCAAUUUCUGCAUUGUUAAAGCGAAUGAAGUUAAUUAAAACAAUGAUUACCUUUAGAGUCAUCGACACUCGACAACAUAAGUUCGAAAAAAAUUACGUACAUGUCCAAAUUCCGGUAGUAGUUUAUGCCGCCAGUGAAGCCCGUCUUGUCAAAUUUGGCGACGUAGUAGUUCACUUCAUCCUCAGACAACCAACUUGGCAAGACAAUAGGAGUAUCUGUGGGAUGUCCAAAUCCUUUGCCUUUAGGCAGGAAAAGUGGACCAGGAUUCCUAUAUGUUAGAAACUCCUUGAUAACUCUUGUAGUGCCCAUCUGAGCAAACUCAGCUUCUAUCACUCCUGGCUCCUACAAAUAUGAGUAAUUUGUCCAGUCAUAACCAAAAAUUGCAAUUGAUAUAUGCGGGUAUGCGAUUUCAGAAUUACAUACUAAUGUUUUCUUGUUAAACAAACAGUAAUAUUUUUUAGUAGAACGAUAGGGUUAGCAGGUUAGACUUAGAUAGUUUGUUGUUAUGGAGAGAAGAAUCAGUGAAGAUCAAAUCUGCACCAUAAUGCACACACAUGACUGCUUUCACAAUAUGAUAAAACCCAUCUACAACAACAAUAUUUUCGAAUAAACCCAAUUUGAUUAUUAGUUCAAAUUCGCAGUCUAUCUAGCGACAUAAAUAUUCAUAGCAACUUCAACCUAAAAGAAAAAAAUCACAAUCAAUUAUAUUACAAUAAAAUGUUCAUACACCUAUUUUUAUUUUCACACUUUUUAUUUUCGACCGUCGAAUUAAAUGAAUUAAAAAAAAUAAGAGAUUAAAAAAAAUGUGUAAAUAACACUACUCUUUAAAAUAUUUGCUUUUGAAAGGUAGAAAAUGAAAUAAAAAAUAAUAUUAUCACAUCCUAUUAUAUAUAAAAUAAGUGAUUCAGAUUGAUUACACAGAGAGACAGAUGGCGUUUUCAAUCUUCCAAGUUGGCGUAGAAACAAAGUAAGCUCUUUAAAAGAAUCGCUUCCAAAGUGAAGAUGUCCACACACUUUUUAUUUGUCAUAUUUUUUUUUUAAUUCUGAUUGUCAGAUCAAAUAAUUAAAGAAAAAUUACAUGACAAAGCCCUCGCUAUGGCGGGGGUCGGAGGAAAGCUUUUCCUUUCGUUGUCUGUUUCUUAGUUUUUAAGUUAAAUUUCUCCCCAGUUCUUCCUGAUUCAACCAAAAUGUCUCUACCCAAGGCCUGUCUUCCCCAACUUCUUUCAGUUCGAUCUGCAGUCAGAUCUCAACUCAUCGGCUCUGGUGUUUUCAACACCACCUCCCUCUCUUUGUCUGCCUUCGUUGGCACUGUCGUUCGAGGUGUUCCCUCGGACUUCUUCCACUUUCUGGCUGAGAUCGGGACGGCUUUCGUGGCUGGGUUCUGCGGAGUUGCUCGAUUGGCUUUGGCGUUGGCUGGCGGAUUGGUUCUGGGUUGAUCGGGAUAAUUUUGAAGGCGGUGGAUGCUGGGGUCAAGAAUUGUCUUUUGCUUUGUCUCUAGUGUUGGGCUCUUUUGUUGAGCUUUGUUCGGUUUGUUGGGAGGUACAUUUGUGUGUAUUGUUCUUUUUGUAUGUGGGCCUCGCUUUGUAAUCUAGUGUAUGAAAUAAAAUUGUCCCCUUUCUUCGGAAAGGUUUUCCAAAAAAAAAAAAAAAAAAAAAAAAAAAAAAAAAAUUAACCCUUUAAAAAGUGUGUUAAAGAUUAAAAAAAAAAACAUGUGUGAAAUAGCUAUCCGAUAUGUUAUGGCUUGUAUUUAGAGAUUAAAUCAAUAAGCACAAGCAAACCUCAAGAUUCACAAGGGGCCUUUUAUUACAGUAAUAGAAAUAAAUUGAACAUUUGCAUGAUUGCGGGAGUUCGAAUUCCGUCGAUAACUAAUCUAACAUUUAUUCUAAUUAAAUCUGUCAGUUGACUAUAAAAUAAAAAAAACUCAAGGUUAAUUUAAAAUUUAAAAUAUCGAUUAUCCCAAAGUGUAUCUUUUUAGUUUUGGUCUAACUCUUAUAUUUCUCAUUUCAUGAUUUAGAAUUAAUUAAAACUUUUAAGUAAUUACCCUAAUUAAAUCUGUUUCCCUCUAAAUUUUAAAAACAUGCGAAUAUGUUCCUCACCAUUAAAAUCUGUCAAUUCUUAUGUCGAUUAUUUCCUUUAUUCUGGACAUAGAAAAAAGAGUGAGAAGCUUGAUGUUCGAAAUUUAUUGUUCUAAAUUAUUUUGUGAAGCACAAUAUGUACCUCACAACUAAUUUGAGUAAAGAUGAUUAAAUGUUAAUCAAAUUGACAAUUAGUGACUGAUGUGGAAUUUUGUGGGGCUCAAAAAUUCCCCAAAAAGAAAAAAAAAAAAAAAGUACCGAACCUGAAAUCUGCAGAUGUAGUAGUCAUCGCCAUAAGCAGCUUGAAGCGAUUCGAUGACCUUCCUCUGAGGGUUUCGCGGCAUGAACUGCACGCUCAAGCUGACCAAGGCUUUGACCCGGUCGGGCCGGAACAGGCAGAGGUACCAAGCGAUGAUGGCCCCCCAGUCGUGGGCCACCACGAACACCUGCUCCUGAUCAGGUGCGAUGGCGUCCAGGAGCGCCACGAGGUCUCCGACCACGUGGAGGCAGUUGUAGCUGGAAGGGGAGGCGGGGGCGUCGGUAUCGCCGUACCCUCGGAGGUCGGGGGCGACAGCGCGGUAGCCGAGGGCGGAGAGGGCGAGGAUUUGGUGGCGCCAGGAGUACCAGAGCUCAGGAAAGCCGUGGACGAAGAGGAUGAGUGGGCCAUUCCCUUUCUCGGCGACGUGCAUGUUGAUGCCGUUCACUGGGACUGUUCGGUGCUCUAUUCCCUGCGACUCCAUGAUCGGCGAUCGCUCUCUCUCUCUCUCUCUCUCUCUCUCUCUGUUUUUUUUUAAAUUUUAUUUGGUAAUGGUUAUCAGCGAGUGAAUGGUGUUUGGGUGAUUUUGUGUCAUUUUAUAGAUGGAAUCCGGCAGUAACGAAUUUUGCCUCUUUUGGAGAUAAACCACGUGGCACGUGUAAUAAUGCAAUUGACUAAAAAACAAAAUAUUUAAUUUCCAAACAAUUGUACUGCGGUGCCGACCUGCUGUCCACUAAAUAGUGUCCUUCGUAUCUUUUACUUUAUUUUUUGAUGUGUCAUACCACUUAAUUUUAAUUUAACUUUGCCUAUUUUUUUUACAUAAUAUUAUGAUUUUGUGAUAUUUUUCUUCAUUUAUAAGUAAGCGGUCUUAAAUUUUAUUCUCGCCAAAGAUGAAUUUGAACCAUAUUGUUGAUAGCCCAUUGAGAGGGCUUAAUCCACUCUUUCACCCCUUAGUGUCGUUUGUUUAAAAAAAACCCAGAUGAAAAAUUAAAGAGAGAAUUAGAAUUUCCCGCAUAUUUUUAAUAUGUUUUAGAUUACAUUGAUUUCAUUUUAAAAUUUGAUUAAGGUGUUUUAAACAAUAACCAAGUCAACAUAUUUCUAUUCAUUUAAAUUACACUAGCAUUUGUCUACACACUUUAUGUGUAUAAAAGGAGAGAUGGAGAGAGAGAGAACGUGGGGGGAGUGGAAGGUUUUUGUUUGAGGUUUUUGUUUUAUUUUUUAUUUUAUUUAUUAUAGUGAAGGUAUUUUAACAUCGCCUGUAGGUGAAGUUUCAAUAAAAAACAGUAAAAUUUAGAUCUAUGAAAUUACAUUAUUGCCCAUAAUUUUUUUUAUGUGAUAGAAGACUAAUUUGUCAUUUUACCCUUUUUUGGUUGACAAAUAGAGUUUUAUUAAUUAGUAGAGAUUUCAUUAUUGAUACUUUGUAAAUUAAAAAUUAAUUAUUGAAUUCUGAGUAUGUAGAUAUUUUUUUUACGUGUGGUUUUUUGUUGGGAAACAGUUUUCUGGUUUGCUAAUUAAUUGGUGAUGUCUAUCGUAUUUUGUUUGUUUGAUUUGUUAGAGUUGUAUUUCUUUGGAAGAACUCUCUUUAUUUUUUGGAUUUAGGUUCAUUAUGUAAGCUCCUCCAGAGCAUGUUUUUACCUGGAGCGAUUGCCUCAUCUUAUUUUUACAAUGACCAAAUUUAUCAAAAAUUUCAUUAUACUGACUAAUGACUAGAGUUGAAGGCCACAUAACAAGACUUCAGUAUUUUCUUCUCCAUUACGUGCCUAAUGUUUUGUACAAGUUUGCACAUAUACCCGUUUACCGUUUUUUACCGGUCUACAAGUUUGCACAUUUUUUAUUUUUUAUUUUUUAUUUUUUUAUUUAUUUUUGCCCAUUUAUAAGUACAUUUGACAUACAUUUCCGUAUUUCAAUUUUUUUUUAAGCUCUCGUACCAUUCCAAUAAUUGAAAUUAUAUUUUACGAACAAUACUUUCAACUAUUAUAAGUGAACGUAAUAUAAUAUAUUUGCUAAGAAAUAAUUUGUUUACUAACAAAAUGCCUUUCGAAUUCUUAUGUACAAGAUCUCCAUGGAUAUGAAGUAAUAGUCAGCACAUGUAAAUCGCAUUUCCAUCAGGAUAACUCAGGGAUCUGAUUCUUGGGAUCCAAGUACUCUACUCUGAUAGGCCAACUCCUUUGUCUGAUUCAAACCUCAGUCAUUUGGUUUGAACUUAUAUGUGCUUAUAGAAUAUACCGAAACAAGGCAAUGAGACAAGCAUUUGAAAGAUCGGGGAAGAGUUGGGGAAGAGUCGUACUUUACGUCCGGCGGUAGCCAACAAAUAAUCCACCGUGAAACUCCGUCGUGGAUGCAAGUUCAGGUGCCGCCAUCAUCGAAGACCAAAAAUAGGGAACAAACCGACUGUUUUGUCAGGGAUAAGAGAGAAGGCAGCGAGGAGAGAGAUGAGCGGCGGGAGUCUAUUGAACAAUUUUCAGGUUUUUAGUUUUUUUAUUUUAAUUUUACAUAUAUUAAAAUAAACAGUUAAAUAGGUAACCAUUUGUAAUUACGGGUAAUACUCAUAACCACUCAUUUAAGUUUAUAAUCAUUUAUUCUUUUAAACAGUUAUCCAUAACCGUAACCAUUAGUUUUAAAUGGACGAGUAACUGCGGUUACUCCUACCUAUGGGUAUUUUCCCAAUCCCUAUAUAUAACUACAACACCAUAAUCUAAUCUGCACAUAUAAAUAAAAGGAACUUUAGCAAAAAGGGUUUGGAUGAAGAUUAUUUUAACAAAAAAUCAGCCUAAAAUAUUGUUUAACCAAAAACUCUUCAAAUUUAACCAUAAGGACAAAAGUCCUAAAUUAUACACGGGCUGAAUUACAAUGCCCAACACGCUCAAAUGUAACUUUCCAUAAUUGCCCUAACUGAAAGAGAGAAGAAGAAAAGUUUCUCUCUCU